CUAGUGCCCACAAUCUGUCACUGCAGCUACAGAGGUUUCUCGGCUUUCUGAAGGCCCAGCCAGACUGAACUCAAUACUCCUUCUGUCACAAAAGCAAUCUUUCUAAAGGGGAGAGAGGGAAAGAGAGAGAGGAGAGAGACAGUUAAGUGUUCGUGGACAUAAAAUGAAGAAAACCAUAGCAAUUUUUAUUUUAGAAAACAUUACCCAACACUGACAGGUGUUGUUUUAAAUGCUGUCGACAACUUUUUGAGCCACGUUUCCGCACAGGGCUGUAAGGUCAAGCGUGAACAUGGCGUGUACGUGCAGAGGACGGGCUGGCCUGGAAGGACGUGAAGUGGACAGCUGGGAACGCAUUUCCGCUGAGCUGGAAGGCUGGGACUUGAGAAUCAGAAACGCCGGGCGGCAUCUGCACCUUUCCAGCUGUGAGGUGCUAUGCACAUGGCUCUGCUUUGCUGAGCUUGUUUCCGUGCAGAGAGCGGCUCUGGGUGUCUCCCUACCACACUGAAACCAGAAGGCUCGGCUUGAAUGCCAGGGUUGCCGGUAGGGUAGCCGGACAGUUUGGAGCAGCCUGUUAAGCCUUUUGUCUUGCAGGGCGGCGAGAUUCUGUGAGCUGAUCCUGUAGGGGCUCACAGGAGUGCCAAGCCAGCACUCGGUGUCCCCGUCAGUGGGGUAACAUGUCUACAAGGUACCAAGGGUAAAAUCAACAUGCCCUUCCCCCUCCCUGGACUCUGGUCAAAACCCUGUUCUCCCCAUCGCACAGGCAGCUGGAGAAGGGCAGCUCCCGUUACCCAGCUCAGAAGGGAAGCUGCAAGUCAGAAUGCACCUGACCUAACACCUCCGGGGGAAGGCAGGGCGCACCACGUGUUGGAACCCGGACGGCCAGGACCUGGGCCACCUCUACACCCCAGGAAAACUCUCACUUCCCACUGCCACUCCCUCCUGCAUGUCUGUCCUGGACUCUAAUGUUGGGGGCUCAGGGAUGUGACCGUGGCCACUGGGAACCUUUGUCCAUUUACAGCCAAGGGGCUGGGAGGGCAGCCAGCACACUAGCUGACUCAGCCCUGGCUCUGCCUGCCUGAGCUCAUCAGCAAGCUCUCCGCUGGUUAAAAAAAAAAAAAG
rnacentral:lncRNA from 1 species